AAAAAGCUAUAGAAAAGCUCACCUGACCGACGCCGGCGCCGGCAAGCUACAGUUAUGGAAGCUGAUAAGUGGGCAAGUUUUUCAGAAGAAACUAGUGAUUCUGAAGGCUACGGGGAGGAUCCUGACGAUGAUGACCAUUGUUGUGCAUAUGCAUCCACUGAUAUACCCAAGUUGCAGUUCAGGAAAGAUAUCUCAAGAUCACGAUGGCUUGAUCCAUUAGGAAUGGCUGAGGUCGUGGAGAGGAAGGGUGGAUUGUGGACAACUACUGGGAUAGUUCGUAAUGGCAAGAUAUAUUGCUUCAUCGAAGAGAUUUUGUAGAUAUCUUGCCGA
rnacentral:misc_RNA from 1 species